rnacentral:tRNA from 1 species
GGCCUUGUCGUCUAGCGGUUUAGGACGCCGCCCUCUCAAUGCGGAGAUCGGGGGUUCGAAUCCCCUCCAGGCUACCA